CGCGCGAGGCCCCCGGGCUGAGCCCCCGCACGCAGUCCGGGUGGGAGAGGGCGGUUCCCCCACCGCCCCUGCGCGACGCGGGCCUCUCCCAGCGAGUCCCCGCAGCGAAAGUUCCCGGGAUAGGUCGGAAUCGGUUUCACCUGCGCCCCGGCGACGCCUCUUCCCUGGCUCUGGAGGAAGGGCCCGGCCCGCCUCCUCCUGUCCUUCCGCCCUCUGAGGUCUCCCCGGCCCUGCCACCUCUCCCAGAUGAGUCAGGCUGGUCCCAGCCAGAGACAGCUCCGUAGGUGAGUCGCCAGCCAGAGGGAGCCGGCAGCGAACCUCUCUGCAGGACGCGGAGCCCCUCCCGGGCCGGGAAAUGGAAAGCAGGAUGUAUUCUGAUGUGCUUAUUCUUUGCCUUUGGUCCAAACCUCUACAGUGGAUAUAGAAUGACAUUUCCAUCCAAGAAGGUGGAACUGCCCAAUGUCCAUCAUCCAGGCCAUCAACCAAGACUUAGUCAUCUCUUUGUCUCUGGCACACACUGUGGCACAUCCAGCUCUCUGUAAGGACUGAUGGGUUGAAUAAAAGACUGAACAAGAGAUAAGUUGGCAAUAGACUGAGAAGGGUUUUGAGUAUUGAUUUAAGACAUUUGGAUUUUAUCUUUUAGAUCACAGGUGUCCAACAGCCUUAAAGCUGAGAAGUGAUAGGAUGAACUUCUCUUUCAAAUGUAUCAUCUCUUUGGGAUAAAUCUCAUCAU